rnacentral:rRNA from 1 species
GGAGUCUGGGCCGUGUCUCAGUCCCAAUGUGGCCGUUCAACCUCUCAGUCCGGCUACCGAUCGUCGCCUUGGUGGGCCAUUACCCCGCCAACAAGCUAAUCGGACGCGAGUCCAUCUCUCAGCGAUAAAUCUUUGAUAUUCCUGUCAUGCGGCAAGAAUAUAUUAUGCGGUAUUAGCGCUCUUUUCAGGGCGUUAUUCCCCACUGAGAGGCAGGUUACUCACGCGUUACUCACCCGUCCGCCACUAAGUUAAGCAAGGAAAUCCACUAGCAAGCUAGCAUCAGACCAGCGCUUAACUCCGUUCGACUUGCAUGUAUUAGGCCUGCCGCCAGCGUUCAAU